GACUCAUCACCCUUGCUGGGGGAAACUGCAUAAACAUCACGUGGUCAUGACAUGGUAAAUUGAAAGUAUCAUAAGUGACAAAUAUAUCUGAAACACCUGCCUUACUAAACAUCACAGCCUAACGAUGCUAUAGAGCAUUGGUGGUUUACCCUCUUCUUGAUCAAAGGGCUGACUGUGAGCUGCAGCUUACUGCUGCUGCAUAGCCUUGCAAGAGAUCAUCUUAACCUGGGAUAUUAGGUGUCAAUUUAAAAAAUAACUAGCCAAAAAAAUCAAAACUUAAAGCAUGUCUUCUAUUGAAUGCCUAUCAUUUUUAAACCAUCAAAAAAAUCAUAAGUCAAGCCAUCAUAUAUAUGGGGAUCAUCUGUGUAUGCUUUCCAGGCCUUGCUAAAUGCCAAGAAAAGGUGAAGGAGGAAAGCUAUUUAGGCCAUGUGAUAGGGGAGGCUUUAGAUAAGAAAACAUUUGAAUAAGACACUUGAAAUGAUUUAGGAAUUGAAACUUGUGGUUUCCUUGGGGGCAGAAAAUGAAUGUGCUUCAUUAAUCUGAGCAACUAUAUAUAAAAGAGGCCCCAGAGAGCUGCCUUGCCCCUUCUGACAUAUAAACCCCAAGAGAAUGCAGCUUUCCUGUGAACCAGGAUGCGGGACCUCACCAGACACUUAAUCUGCCACUGCCUAGACUUGUACUGAAAGCCUUUAGAACUGUCAGAAUUAAACAUUUGCUCUUUUAAAGUCCCCUUGUACAUAGUAUUUUGUUAUAGUAGACUGAACAGAC
rnacentral:lncRNA from 1 species